GGGCACAUAACUCAGCGGUAGAGUGCGACCUUCACACGGUCGAAGUCACAGGUUCGAUACCUGUUGUGCCCACAA
rnacentral:tRNA from 1 species